CCUACGGGUGGCAGCAGUGGGGAAUAUUGCACAAUGGGGGAAACCCUGAUGCAGCGACGCCGCGUGAGUGAAGAAGUCUCUCGGUGCGUAAAGCUCUAUCAGCAGGGAAGAAAAUGAAGGUACCUGACUAAGAAUCCCCGGAUAACUACGUGCCAGAAGCCGAGGUAAUACGUCGGGGGCAAGCGUUAUCCGGAUUUACUGAGUGUAAAGGGAGCGUAGACGGCAGCACAAGUGUGGAGUGAAAUCCCGGGGCUUAACCCCGGAACUGGUUUGGAGACUGUCCGGCUUGAGUGCAGGUGGGGUAAGCGGAAUUCCUAGUGUAGCGGUGAAAUGCGUAGAUAUUAGGAAGAACACCGGUUGCGAAGGCGGCUUACUGGACUGUCACUGACGUUGAGGCUCGAAAGCGUGGGGAGCAAACAGGAUUAGAUACCCCAGUAGUC
rnacentral:rRNA from 1 species